rnacentral:rRNA from 1 species
GGAGGGUGCAAGCGUUAUCCGGAUUCACUGGGUUUAAAGGGUGCGUAGGUGGGCAAGUAAGUCAGUGGUGAAAUCUCCGGGCUUAACCCGGAAGCUGCCAUUGAUACUAUUUGUCUUGAAUACUGUGGAGGUCAGCGGAAUAUGUCAUGUGGCGGUGAAAUGCUUAGAUAUGACAUAGAACACCAAUUGCGAAGGCAGCUGGCUACACAAAUAUUGACACUGAGGCACGAAAGCGUGGGGAUCAAACAGGAUUAGAUACCCUGGUAGUCCACGCCCUAAACUAUGGAUACUCGACAUUUGCGAUAAACUGCAAGUGUCUGAGCGAAAGCAUUAAGUAUCCCACCUGGGAAGUACGAUCGCAAGAUUG